UAUUUUAUUUAUGGACCAUCCAAACC
rnacentral:piRNA from 1 species